UCCAGACUCCUACGGGAGGCAGCAGUGGGGGAUAUUGCACAAUGGGGGGAACCCUGAUGCAGCGACGCCGCGUGGGUGAAGGAGCGUUUCGGCGCGUAAAGCCCUAUCGGCAGGGAAGAAGGAGGACGGUACCUGACUAAGAAGCCCCGGCUAACUACGUGCCAGCAGCCGCGGUAAUACGUAGGGGGCAAGCGUUAUCCGGAUUUACUGGGUGUAAAGGGGGCGCAGACGGCAGCGCAAGCCAGGAGUGAAAGCCCGGGGCCCAACCCCGGGACUGCUCUUGGAACUGCGCGGCUGGAGUGCAGGAGGGGCAGGCGGAAUUCCUGGUGUAGCGGUGAAAUGCGUAGAUAUCAGGAGGAACACCGGUGGCGAAGGCGGCCUGCUGGACCGUGACUGACGUUGAGGCUCGAGAGCGUGGGGAGCAAACAGGAUUAGAUACCCCCGUAAUG
rnacentral:rRNA from 1 species